GACGAACGCUGGCGGCGUGCUUAACACAUGCAAGUCGAACGAAGAGCGAUGGAAGCUUGCUUCUAUCAAUCUUAGUGGCGAACGGGUGAGUAACGCGUAAUCAACCUGCCCUUCAGAGGGGGACAACAGUUGGAAACGACUGCUAAUACCGCAUACGAUCUAAUCUCGGCAUCGAGGAUAGAUGAAAGGUGGCCUCUACAUGUAAGCUAUCACUGAAGGAGGGGAUUGCGUCUGAUUAGCUAGUUGGAGGGGUAACGGCCCACCAAGGCGAGGAUCAGUAGCCGGUCUGAGAGGAUGAACGGCCACAUUGGGACUGAGACACGGCCCAGACUCCUACGGGAGGCAGCAGUGGGGAAUCUUCCGCAAUGGACGAAAGUCUGACGGAGCAACGCCGCGGGAGCGAUGACGGCCUUCGGGUUGUAAAGCUCUGUUAAUCGGGACGAAAGGCCUUCUUGCGAAUAGUGAGAAGGAUUGACGGUACCGGAAUAGAAAGCCACGGCUAACUACGUG
rnacentral:rRNA from 1 species